CCUACGGGCGGCAGCAGUGAGGAAUAUUGGUCAAUGGACGCAAGUCUGAACCAGCAAUGCCGCGUGCAGGAAGACGGCUCUAUGAGUUGUAAACUGCUUUUGUACGAGGGUAAACGCAGAUACGCGUAUCUGUCUGAAAGUAUCGUAAGAAUAAGGAUCGGCUAACUCCGUGCCAGCAGCCGCGGUAAUACGGAGGAUUCAAGCGUUAUCCGGAUUUAUUGGGUUUAAAGGGUGCGUAGGCGGUCGGAUAAGUUAGAGGUGAAAUCCCGAGGCUCAACUUCGGAAUUGCCUCUGAUACUGUUCGACUAGAGAGUAGUUGCGGUAGGCGGAAUGUAUGGUGUAGCGGUGAAAUGCUUAGAUAUCAUACAGAACACCGAUUGCGAAGGCAGCUUACCAAGCUACUUCUGACGUUGAGGCACGAAAGCGUGGGGAGCAAACAGGAUUAGAUACCCUUGUAGUC
rnacentral:rRNA from 1 species